AGUGAACGCUGGCGGUAUGCCUAACACAUGCAAGUCGAACGGCAACACAGUAAGAGCUUGCUCUUACGGGUGGCGAGUGGCGGACGGGUGAGGAAUACAUCGGAAUCUACUUUUUCGUGGGGGAUAACGUAGGGAAACUUACGCUAAUACCGCAUACGACCUACGGGUGAAAGCAGUGGAUCUUCGGACCUUGCGCGAUUGAAUGAGCCGAUGUCGGAUUAGCUAGUUGGCGGGGUAAAGGCCCACCAAGGCGACGAUCCGUAGCUGGUCUGAGAGGAUGAUCAGCCACACUGGAACUGAGACACGGUCCAGACUCCUACGGGAGGCAGCAGUGGGGAAUAUUCGACAAUGGGCGAAAGCCUGAUCCAGCAAUACCGCGUGAGUGAAGAAGGCCUUCGGGUUGUAAAGCCCUUUUGUUGGGAAAGAAAAGCAGCAGGUUAAUACCCCGAUGUUCUGACGGUACCCAAAGAAUAAGCACCGGCUAACUUCGUG
rnacentral:rRNA from 1 species